GAUGAACGCUGGCGGCGUGCCUAAUACAUGCAAGUCGAGCGAACACACGGGAAGCUUGCUCCCCUGACGUUGGCGGCGGACGGGUGAGUAACACGUGGAUAACCUACCUAUAAGACUGGGGUGACUUCGGGGAACAGGAGCUAAUAACGGAUAAUAUAUCGAACCGCAUGGAGCAAUAGUGAAAGACGCUUUUGCUGUCACUAAUAGACGGAUCCGGGCCGCAUUAGCUAGUUGGUAAGGUAACGGCUUACCAAGGCAACGAUGCGUAGCCGACCUGAGAGGAUGAUCGGCCACACUGGAACUGAGACACGGUCCAGACUCCUACGGGAGGCAGCAGUAGGGAAUCUUCCGCAAUGGGCGAAAGCCUGAUGGAGCAACACCGCGUGAGUGAUGAAGGUCUUCGGAUCGUAAAGCUCUGUUGUUAGGAAAGAACAAAAGCGUAAGUAACUAUGGACGUUCUGACGGUACCUAAACAGUAAGCCCCGGCUAACUACGUG
rnacentral:rRNA from 1 species